CUCAGACAGGUGGCUUCAGCCCAUUGUUCCAGCCUGUCCAGAUCCCUCUUCAGAGCCUUCUGACCCUACAGCAGUUCAGCACUUUUUCAAAUGGGAAUGUAAUAUCCUUUCUGCACACUCUGAUCUCAAUAUUUUAACCUGCAGGGUGAAGUUUGUAAUGGGAAAAGAAAGCAUUAAGCCACUGAUUUUGUCUGUAGUUUUGCCCUGUAUUUUUCAUAACUGUAUUUCAAACCAUGUUUGUUCACUGCAUAAAAGCUAACAGGAGUAAAUAUCCUGCAAAUUUUGACAAUUUCAGUGCUCUGUGAUAUGAUACAAAAAGACAAACCUAUUGAGCUGAAUCACUUCUAAAGUAUGCAAGAGGAUAUCUGUCAUGCACCCAUCCAUUUGAGCACGAGACAAAUUGAAAUUGGCACCAAAUGAGGAAGAAUGACCUUGUACUUGUGAGAUGCAGCCUCAGACACUUUCCGACACUCCCAAAAGUUCCCUCUUUUACUUGGCUUCUGCCAGAAGAUUUCUAAAUGCAAAUGAGCUGCCUGUGCUGAGAGCCAGUCAGAGCUGGGGCUGCCACGCUGAGCAGCAGGAGCACCAUGUCUCUCUGAAACUGUCCUACCAGCCCAGCCUACGAAAAAAUUCCUAAGAAACCCUUGAUCAGAUAAGAGGAAUGUUUUCAAGCAAUAAUCAUGCAAAGGUUUCCCAGAUGGAUGAUUUUGCGCCAUGAAUAGAACACUGUGGGGCAUUGUUUUUUACAAAUAGCUUUCAUCCUUUCUUUUUUAUUUAU
rnacentral:lncRNA from 1 species